rnacentral:rRNA from 1 species
AUUGAACGCUGGCGGCAGGCCUAACACAUGCAAGUCGAGCGAGCGGCGGACGGGUGAGUAAUGUCGGGGAAACUGCCUGAUGGAGGGGGAUAACUACUGGAAACGGUAGCUAAUACCGCAUACCAUCAGAUGUGCCCAGAUGGGAUUAGCUAGUAGGUGGGGUAACGGCCCACCUAGGCGACGAUCCCUAGCUGGUCUGAGAGGAUGACCAGCAAAACUGGAACGUAGACACGGGCCAGAGGACUACGGGAGGGAGCAGUGGGGAAUAUUGCACAAUGGGCGCAAGCCUGAUGCAGCCAUGCCGCGGGUGUGAAGGAGGCCUUCGGGUUGUAAAGCACUUUCAGCUGGGAGGCGUUACCCGCAGAAGAAGCACCGGCUAACUCCGGGCCAGCAGCCGCGGUAAUUC